GUCUGAAAGAACCGACUCACUAAAAUGAAUCAGAGUUCCCAAUGCUAAAUAUAAGGGAAUCAUUUAUUUUAUGGAAAGAAUGGAUUAUUAUUUGGAUUUUUCAGCACUACAUGAGAGAGAACGAGGACGGUUUAGGGGCAGUCUAAAAGAACACAAAAGGAGAUUUUAGGCAGCCUGUCGUCUCUCUGGUUCUGAUGUGCACUUUGAUUUGUGCCGAUCUGCAAGUAUUCAUACUACAAUGUGCACUCAUGCUUAUGCAUACUGUAUAAUUUAUGUGGGUCACAUCUGCUCUUUGCUUGUAUGUGGAUAUGCAUGUUGUGUAUUUUAGAGAAAGAAGGAAAAGCAGAGAGAUUGGUGUGGAUGCCUGCCAGACUCCUAUGGCAGUGCGGGCAUGGACAGCCGCUGUGUUUACCUGAAGGUCACACUGCAUAUCAGCAGCAACCCUGAGCACAUCUCAUCACAAACACAAAAUAAAAACACAUGCUGUCUCAGGACUGAACUCUGUCAAAGAGGUGAAAGUAGGUGGUGACGGUGGGGCUUUCAAGCAACAAAAAGACAAAAAAGCACCAUAAAUGUACCAUGAAAGUCUUAUCUUAGGUGAGUAAAUGAUGACAGAAUCUUUAUUUUUAGGUGAACUUUUCCUUUAAAAUGUACUCUUUUGGUGUUGUUUGUCCUGAACUCUAGGGGGAGCUUAAAGUAAGUUAGUUUGUUGUGCACUUUUAUAUUUUCUGUGUUUCUUUUCUUUUCUUUUACAUUUUUCCUGAAAGUGGUAGUUUUAAGGGACCUUAUAAAGACUGAGCUCUUAAAUAAAAUUGUUUUUAAAACUUCUUU